rnacentral:rRNA from 1 species
UACGAAGGGUGCAAGCGUUAAUCGGAAUUACUGGGCGUAAAGCGUGCGUAGGCGGUUUCUUAAGUCUGCUGUGAAAUCCCCGGGCUCAACCUGGGAAUGGCAGUGGAUACUGGGAGGCUAGAGUGUGUCAGAGGAUGGUGGAAUUCCCGGUGUAGCGGUGAAAUGCGUAGAGAUGUGGAGGAACACCGAUGGCGAAGGCAGCCCCCUGGGAUAAUACUGACGCUCAUGCACGAAAGCGUGGGGAGCAAACAGG